rnacentral:rRNA from 1 species
UACGUAGGGUGCGAGCGUUGUCCGGAAUUAUUGGGCGUAAAGGGCUCGUAGGCGGUUUGUCGCGUCGGGAGUGAAAACACCGGGCUUAACUCGGUGCUUGCUUUCGAUACGGGCAGACUUGAGGCAUGCAGGGGAGAACGGAAUUCCUGGUGUAGCGGUGAAAUGACGCAGAUAUCAGGAGGAACACCGGUGGCGAAGGCGGAUCUCUGGGCCAUUACUGACGCUGAGGAGCGAAAGCGUGGGGAGCGAACAGG